UUGGAGGGCAAGUCUGGUGCCAGCAGCCGCGGUAAUUCCAGCUCCAAUAGCGUAUAUUAAAGUUGUUGCAGUUAAAAAGCUCGUAGUUGAAUUUCGGGGUCAGUAGAUUGGUCGUGCCACUGGUAUGUACUGGUCUUACUGGCUCCUCCUUCCUGAUGAACCGUAAUGCCAUUAAUUUGGUGUUGCGGGGAGACUGGACUGUUACUUUGAAAAAAUUAGAGUGUUUAAAGCAGGCUAACGCUUGAAUACAUUAGCAUGGAAUAAUGAAAUAGGACGUUCGAUCUUAUUUUGUUGGUUUCUAGGAUUGACGUAAUGAUUAAUAGGGAUAGUUGGGGGCAUUAGUAUUCAAUUGUCAGAGGUGAAAUUCUUGGAUUUAUUGAAGACUAACUACUGCGAAAGCAUUUGCCAAGGAUGUUUUCAUUAAUCAAGAACGAAAGUUAGGGGAUCGAAGACGAUCAGAUACCGUCGUAGUCUUAACCAUAAACUAUGCCGACUAGGGAUCGGAUGAUGUUAAUUUUUUAAUGACUCAUUCGGCGCCUUACGGGGAAAC
rnacentral:rRNA from 1 species